UCCACUUCCAAAAAUAUCUUUGCAACGAGAAAGAAUUUUACUGAAGAAAUUUGUAGAUGCGACAAGGAAAACAGGUCGAAGAAUGCAUGAAAAUAUACUUCUCGCAGUUCUAACGUCUUCGCCAUGUGAAUCGUGAUAUCGAAAAUUUGUCAGGUCCUCAGCAGAAAGUUUUUCGGAUUCAUGAUAAUGGCACUUGUCACUCUUCAGCUCUUUGGAAACGCUUACUAGAUCUCAAGGCACAGGUAGCCUUUGUUGCCUCUGUUGCAGUCUUGUGUACACGACUUCACCUUUGCCCUACAGAUGUAAAACACCAGUGCUCUUGAAGGCUUUGAUGAACCCUCUGAUGCGCACAUGGCACUUACCCCGAACCAAAGAGAUACAGCUGUGGAAAGAGAAAUGUCAAAUCAUUCAGCAGCGCUUGUUUCUUACCUGGCCGUUACUUGCCAGCUCAGCUAAACCAGUAAAAGAUGAUUCCAAACUGCAGAUGUUCAUCUGUCCAAAGGUACAGCGUGUUGAACAAAAAGCCUCGUUGGCCAUGGAGACCCAUUAGGGUCCCUGCCUGCUGUCCUGGAGCAGCUCUUCAGAGCAUCUGCAGUCAAUCCUGGGGAGAAGGUCCUGCCUCUGCCCUGACCUCCAGCUUCCUUGCAAAGCCCCAGUUUCCAGGUGGGAAUUAAAUGACUAUUUUGGAUGUCUGCUGGUGAAAGAGCAGAGAAGAAACCACACCAGCUGCUGCCGGACACCUUGGCUGUGAUUUGGGGAGGUACCCAGCAGUGCUUGGGGGGACCUACCGCCCUUUCUGGUGGUGGCAGUGGUGGAGGUGGGGUCCUCUCUACCCUUGGCAGGGCCAACUUGCGCAGGAAAGGGCUCGGGCAGAAGAGGGAGGGUACCUGCACCCUCCACAGGCGUGCAGGGGCAGUAGCUCCAUUGAAGCUAAUUGGAUGGCUCCUAUGAGUAAAAUAAAGUGGAUGUGAUCAGUUCUGCUGUAGACACCAAACCACCCGCCAAAAAGUACAGCAUUUAAUUUCCUGCUGCUGUUGCUUGCGGGGCAAUCCCUCUGCUUAUCUAAGGCAUUUCACCAAAAUCUCUUUUUCUUGGGGGUCUGACCUGUGGUCCUGAGGCAAAGCACAGACUGGCUUUAAAGCCUGAGCAGGGCUCCAGCAUUCACCACUGCGGCUCAAGAACAUGCAACGUCUCUCCUGAUGCUCUACAUACAGAACAUAUCUAUCCAUAAUUAGAUAUGAUUAGAGGAACCAGAGAUGUUCAAGAGCUCUCUUUUAUAAAUUGCUUUUUGCAGUCAAAUUAAGGUUUAUUGCCGAGUGUCUUGUGGUUUACGCCGACUCUGAUUUGCACAUUUUUAUACUGUUGUUUUGCUUGUUGUACUCAUAUGGCUAUAUAGCAAAACUAAAUCAGCUCUCCCCGUAGGCCCAACAAGUGAGCUUUCCAGUGCGUAGAAUUCAAUGGACAAUCCCCAUAACAUUUUCUGGUUUUUAAUGCAUUCAGUAACUGUAAAAACCUCUUAAAAUUGAACAAGGUUAUAAAACUUGGCUCUAUACAGAUUCCCCUAAUUAACAUAUGACAGAUACAUGCAGUCAUUCCACUGUGCUCUCCUCCGGUAACUGCUUAACAUAACUAUAAAACGGCUUCCACGAGGUAGUGCAGGCACCGGCUUUGUCUUUGCACACAUCUGUUGCAUUUUUUAAAAGAAAAAUAAAGUUUUAAUUUUUAAAAUCUCAGUCUUAAUAAUGCAUGAAAACCCAGAAAAAUUCUGCUUCGUUUUCAUCCAGGUCUCAUCUUACAUCACUUCCAGCACUGCCGAAUGGUCCCAAGGUACUUUCUGUCCCCUCCAUCAUUCCAACGGGGGCGACACGCUCCCGGUGACCGAGGUGGGCGGCGCUGAAUCCUGGCACGAAUGGGUCGGUCCUUGCUGCGCUUUACAGCAGCAUCGAGGUGGCUGCAAGCGCACGUGUCCAUGGGACGCGGGUCUGGCCAGGAGGUUGUUUCUGAGGGUGAGUGGAAGAAUAUGGGGUGUCUCUCUUCAAAUAUUUGGACCUGUUGGGCAAAACUCACAAAACCAGUCAUUUACUGUCAACAGGAGCUCCUCAGAAGCCCAAUUACAAAAAUAUCAAAACCCAGGAAGACGCACAGAUUUGAGUGAAUUAGGUGCAUUAGGAUUGCAAACACAAUUCUCAGUUUUUUCCUAAGCAAACAAGCCUUGCAUUAACUAUUUAUAGAAUACUCGCUUUUCUGUUAAUGACCUGUAUCUAAAAUACGUUAAGUAAAGUAUUUUUCACAAAUAUUCAUAGGUCUGUCUAAAUGAAUUAAUUUUUAACCUUUAUGGUCUUCAU